GCCUCCUUAGCUCAAUGGUAGAGCGUGAGGCUUUUAACCUCAAGGUUGUGGGUUCGAGCCCCACAGGUGGCG
rnacentral:tRNA from 4 species